AAAAGGUGGCUAUGCUACCGCUUUUGGAUGGGCCCGCGGCGCAUUAGCUAGUUGGUGGGGUAAAGGCUUACCAAGGCAAUGAUGCGUAGCCGAACUGAGAGGUUGAUCGGCCACAUUGGGACUGAGACACGGCCCAAACUCCUACGGGAGGCAGCAGUAGGGAAUCUUCCACAAUGGGCGAAAGCCUGAUGGAGCAACGCCGCGUGGGUGAAGAAGGUCUUCGGAUCGUAAAACCCUGUUGUUAGAGAAGAAAGUGCGUGAGAGUAACUGUUCACGUUUCGACGGUAUCUAACCAGAAAGCCACGGCUAACUACGUGCCAGCAGCCGCGGUAAUACGUAGGUGGCAAGCGUUAUCCGGAUUUAUUGGGCGUAAAGGGAACGCAGGCGGUCUUUUAAGUCUGAUGUGAAAGCCUUCGGCUUAACCGGAGUAGUGCAUUGGAAACUGGGAGACUUGAGUGCAGAAGAGGAGAGUGGAACUCCAUGUGUAGCGGUGAAAUGCGUAGAUAUAUGGAAGAACACCAGUGGCGAAAGCGGCUCUCUGGUCUGUAACUGACGCUGAGGUUCGAAAGCGUGGGUAGCAAACAGGAUUAGAUACCCUGGUAGUCCACGCCGUAAACGAUGAAUGCUAAGUG
rnacentral:rRNA from 1 species